GGCUGGCAUCUCUUACAACCUUUCUAUACUAGUUCAGUCUUGGGAAAUGUAAUUUUGUGAGGGUGGUGAAGACUAGGGCUUUUUUUCCAGCUGGAACUCACUGGAACUGAGUUCUGGCUCCUCUUAAGCGUUGCUAUAGGAACGGUGCUUGUAGCUGUGCUACAAAAAGUUCAACAACUUUGGCACUCCUAGGGUUGUCCAUCCCAAAAAGGUGAAAGUUCCUGCAACUAUUUUUCUAGGGAAAAAGCACUGGUGAAGACUUAUCUGUUAAGACCAUUAGGUCACACACACAUCAGAACCACAGUUCCCAAGAUUCCAUACAGAGAGAGAACCAUGUGAAGCCUAUAGGAUAAGGUGAGAACCUUGAGCCCACAGCCUGUGUGAUGUAAUCCACUGAGAGCAGUCAAGGACAACAUUCCUUGUUUUCCUAGAGUGGACAUGCAAGGGAAUGUUUGGUCCAGCCAGUCGAAACUUCCUGUUACACCUGGCUGAAGCAUCCUUCCUUGCAUGUGACUAGUGGGUGGGCAUGACCUUUCCAGACCUGGUAGAAGGACAAGGCAUGCUGCCACUCUCUCUCUCUCUCUUUUUGACCUCCUUCGUUUGACCAGCUUUUAGCUAGGACUGCUCAGAGGCAGUGGAAUUAUUCCCCCAUAUGGGGUAGAUCCACACGUACAUAUUUGGAACUAAGUCUGCCUUCAGGGAUCCAACUGUGAACUGAU